CCCUUAGAUGUUCUGGGCUGCACGCGCGCGACAAUGACGUUUGCAACGAGAUUGCGAGGCCGUCAGGUCGAGCUGAUCUUGCAAGCUGCGUCGUGAUAGGGACAGUCGAUUGCAAUUAUUCGACUCGAACGAGGAAUUCCUUGUAAUCGCGCAUCAUCAGUGCGCGCUGAAUACGUCCCUGCCCUUUGUACACACCGCCCGUCGCUCCUACCGAUUGAAUGCUCAGGUGAGCCAUUCGGACUUUCAUCAUGCUGGUUUCCAGUUUUGACGAAGGAAAGUCUUGCGAACCUUAUCAUUUAGAGGAAGGAGAAGUCGUAACA
rnacentral:rRNA from 1 species